rnacentral:lncRNA from 1 species
ACCAAACCACAGGCUGCAAAUGUCCCUCGCUCUAACACUCUAACGUCACUCUGCUGUGUUCACACUGUGAGCUGGUGACAGACACACAGACGCAGCUUCUUCUCUACAGCAGCAGCUGAAAAGGCUCUGAGCUGAUGUGAGACAUUAAGUGUAAGCUGGCUGACACGUCACACGCUGUCAGUGAGACGCUUCUGAGGAAGGAGAGAGACAUCACAGAAAGUGUCAAACAAAGGUAGCGCUGUCUGUCUCACACUCAUAUCUUCAGCUCAUCAUCUCAUGACGUGGAGAUGGAUCA